rnacentral:rRNA from 1 species
UACGAGGGGGGCAAGCGUUGUUCGGAAUUAUUGGGCGUAAAGCGCACGUAGGCGGCUCGUUAAGUCGGAUGUGAAAUCCCUCGGCUCAACCGAGGAAGUGCAUCCGAAACUGGCGAGCUUGAGUACGGAAGAGGGUCUCGGAAUUCCCGGUGUAGAGGUGAAAUUCGUAGAUAUCGGGAGGAACACCAGUGGCGAAGGCGGAGACCUGGGCCGAUACUGACGCUGAGGUGCGAAAGCGUGGGGAGCAAACAGG